GAUUGGAAAUCACGCUAGAGUAAACUGGUGAAGGAGGAGGCUGCAUCUGAACUCAAGCUCAACCUGCAGAAUCUUGUUGUAUACACUUUGGGGAGAACAGCAGUGUAAGUUUACUCUUCUUCUUAAAGUUAUCAUAAGAUGUCAUUUCUGGCUAAGAUGAGUGAAUUGAUCGAAACUUUUUAGUCAUUGGGUUGAAUCCAUAUUUUCUCCAGAACCCCCGCAGAGAUUUCUGAGUGAGUCAUAAUUCUAAAUGAGACAGACACAAUAUUUAGGGGAAAAAAAUGUUAUCAUUCAAACAAAGAGUUAUCUAUAAGAGUUAACUGGUCAUAACCAUUACUAACACUACAUUGACAAAUAGCAA
rnacentral:lncRNA from 1 species